rnacentral:rRNA from 1 species
UUGCGGACAGUGUCUGGUGGGUAGUUUGACUGGGGCGGUCUCCUCCUAAAGAGUAACGGAGGAGCACGAAGGUUGGCUAAUCCUGGUCGGACAUCAGGAGGUUAGUGCAAUGGCAUAAGCCAGCUUGACUGCGAGCGUGACGGCGCGAGCAGGUGCGAAAGCAGGUCAUAGUGAUCCGGUGGUUCUGAAUGGAAGGGCCAUCGCUCAACGGAUAAAAGGUACUCCGGGGAUAACAGGCUGAUACCGCCCAAGAGUUCAUAUCGACGGCGGUGUUUGGCACCUCGAUGUCGGCUCAUCACAUCCUGGGGCUGAAGUAGGUCCCAAGGGUAUGGCUGUUCGCCAUUUAAAGUGGUACGCGAGCUGGGUUUAGAACGUCGUGAGACAGUUCGGUCCCUAUCUGCCGUGGGCGCUGGAGAACUGAGGGGGGCUGCUCCUAGUACGAGAGGACCGGAGUGGACGCAUCACUGGUGUUCGGGUUGUCAUGCCAAUGGCACUGCCCGGUAGCUAAAUGCGGAAGAGAUAAGUGCUGAAAGCAUCUAAGCACGAAACUUGCCCCGAGAUGAGUUCUCCCUGACUCCUUGAGAGUCCUGAAGGAACGUUGAAGACGACGACGUUGAUAGGCCGGGUGUGUAAGCGCAGCGAUGCGUUGAGCUAACCGGUACUAAUGAACCGUGAGG